GGGCGGAGUCAAAUGCGUUUAACCGAACCCUUCAAGGUCACCCAAAUUGAGGUAGACGUUGACGGUGUUAACGUCAACGAAAGCGAAACUUAAUCGAACCUAACCUACAUGGAUAAAAAUAUAAACCAUGGAAUUGGGACUCCCAUCCGAUUGGCUGAUUUUCUUUUUCAAAGGAAAACAUGCAGCAAAUUAAGCGAUGGUGGUGCCUAGUUCUCCUGCAGAACUUUCCAAUGCCGUCUGAAGAAGAGAAGUUGAAUGAUUGAAAAAGGAGGCGAAAACAAAGCACACUACAUGAUGAUGUAGAAGACGUCCCCCCCAAGAAGUCAAAGCAUGUCACGUCAGCAUCCAGCUCUGCAGGAUCAGACGAUACUGAAAACAAAAUGCACGACGAACUGGGAGCUGUGAACUGGGAAAAGGGACACCCUGGACGCAGCAAUGUGGUGUGAACUACAAACAUUUAAAGGCACUGUUUCCCUCCCUAGUGUAAUUGGGAUUCUCCAAGGAACCAUUCAUGUUCCAGUUACAGAGAGAUGAGAUGUUCAAUGUGGAGGCAGUUGACAACAAGAAAAUGACUGUCUUUGCCUCUUGAGGAGCAGGACUGAAGCCAUUUUUGAGGAGUGGCAAACCUUGUUUUUGUCUGCUGUGUUAAUUGUGUUAUGUUGUUUAGUAAAGAUGACGUAGAAGUCA